GUCGAACGGUGAAAGAGAGCUUGCUCUCUGGAUCAGUGGCGAACGGGUGAGUAACACGUGAGCAAUCUGCCCCUGACUCUGGGAUAACAGUUGGAAACAGCUGCUAAUACCGGAUACGAGCUUCGAAGGCAUCUUCAGAAGCUGGAAAGAACUUCGGUCAGGGAUGAGCUCGCGGCCUAUCAGCUAGUUGGUGAGGUAAUGGCUCACCAAGGCGUCGACGGGUAGCCGGCCUGAGAGGGUGACCGGCCACACUGGGACUGAGACACGGCCCAGACUCCUACGGGAGGCAGCAGUGGGGAAUAUUGCACAAUGGGCGCAAGCCUGAUGCAGCAACGCCGCGUGAGGGACGACGGCCUUCGGGUUGUAAACCUCUUUUAGCAGGGAAGAAGCGAAAGUGACGGUACCUGCAGAAAAAGCGCCGGCUAACUACGUGCCAGCAGCCGCGGUAAUACGUAGGGCGCAAGCGUUAUCCGGAAUUAUUGGGCGUAAAGAGCUCGUAGGCGGUUUGUCGCGUCUGCUGUGAAAACUGGAGGCUCAACCUCCAGCCUGCAGUGGGUACGGGCAGACUAGAGUGCGGUAGGGGAGAUUGGAAUUCCUGGUGUAGCGGUGGAAUGCGCAGAUAUCAGGAGGAACACCGAUGGCGAAGGCAGAUCUCUGGGCCGUAACUGACGCUGAGGAGCGAAAGGGUGGGGAGCAAACAGGCUUAGAUACCCUGGUAGUCCACCCCGUAAACGUUGGGAACUAGUUGUGGGGUCCAUUCCACGGAUUCCGUGACGCAGCUAACGCAUUAAGUUCCCCGCCUGGGGAGUACGGCCGCAAGG
rnacentral:rRNA from 1 species